UGAGCAAUCUGCCCUUCUCAUCGGAAUAAGCGUUGGAAACGACGUCUAAUGCCGAAUACGACCUCCUUUCACAUGAUCGGAGGUGGAAAGCUCCGGCGGAGAAGGAUGAGCUCGCGGCCUAUCAGCUAGUUGGUGUGGGUAACGCCCACCAAGGCGACGACGGGUAGCCGGCCUGAGAGGGUGACCCGGCCACACUGGAACUGAGACACGGCCCAGACUCCGUACGGGGAGNAGCG
rnacentral:rRNA from 1 species